CCUACGGGAGGCAGCAGUCGAGAAUCAUUCACAAUGGGGGAAACCCUGAUGGUGCGACGCCGCGUGGGGGAAUGAAGGUCUUCGGAUUGUAAACCCCUUUCAUGUGGGAGCAAAUUAAAAAGAUAGUACCCCAAGAGGAAGAGACGGCUAACUCUGUGCCAGCAGCCGCGGUAAUACAGAGGUCUCAAGCGUUGUUCGGAAUCACUGGGCGUAAAGCGUGCGUAGGCUGUUUCGUAAGUCGUGUGUGAAAGGCGCGGGCUCAACCCGCGGACGGCACAUGAUACUGCGAGACUAGAGUAAUGGAGGGGGAACCGGAAGUCUCGGUGUAGCAGUGAAAUGCGUAGAUAUCGAGAGGAACACUCGUGGCGAAGGCGGGUUCCUGGACAUUAACUGACGCUGAGGCACGAAGGCCAGGGGAGCGAAAGGGAUUAGAUACCCCUGUAGUC
rnacentral:rRNA from 1 species